AUUGAACGCUGGCGGCAGGCCUAACACAUGCAAGUCGAACGGUAACAGGAAGCAGCUUGCUGCUUCGCUGACGAGUGGCGGACGGGUGAGUAAUGUCUGGGAGGCUGCCUGAUGGAGUGGGAUAACUACUGGAAACGGUAGCUAAUACCGCAUAAUGUCGCAAGACCAAAGAGGGGGACCUUCGGGCCUCUUGCCAUCGGAUGUGCCCAGAUGGGAUUAGCUUGUUGGUGGGGUAACGGCUCACCAAGGCGACGAUCCCUAGCUGGUCUGAGAGGAUGACCAGCCACACUGGAACUGAGACACGGUCCAGACUCCUACGGGAGGCAGCAGUGGGGAAUAUUGCACAGUGGGCGCAAGCCUGAUGCAGCCAUGCCGCGUGUAUGAAGAAGGCCUUCGGGUUGUAAAGUACUUUCAGCGGGGAGGAAGGGAGUAAAGUUAAUACCUUUGCUCAUUGACGUUACCCGCAGAAGAAGCACCGGCUAACUCCGU
rnacentral:rRNA from 1 species